rnacentral:rRNA from 1 species
UCGAAGGUAGCAUAAUCAGUAGUCUUUUAAUUGAAGGCUGGUAUGAAUGGUUGGACGAAAUAUUAACUGUUUCAUUUAAAAUUUUUAUAGAAUUUUAUUUUUUAGUUAAAAAGCUAAAAUUAUAUUAAAAGACGAGAAGACCCUAUAAAUCUUAAUAUUUAUAUUAUUUUAAUUAUAAAGAUUACUUUAAUUAUAAUUUUUAUAAAUAUUUUAUUGGGGUGAUAUUAAAAUUUAAUAAACUUUUAAUUUUUAAAUACAUUAAUUUAUGAUUAAUUGAUCCGUUAUUAACGAUUAAAAAUUUAAGUUACUUUAGGGAUAACAGCGUAAUUUUUUUGGAGAGUUCAUAUCGAUAAAAAAGAUUGCGACCUCGAUGUUGGAUUAA